rnacentral:lncRNA from 1 species
AGCAGGCUCACACCCUGCCCUUCAGAGUUGCAGCAGCUAAUGCUGAUGCCAGGACCUUGUCCUGCCAGGAAGCCUCUGAUUAGGGCUGUGAACCAACUUCCUUUUCACAUCUGCAAGGACACUUGGAGGCAACUGCCCAAGGCCACUCUGAGGAGGGUUGAAUGUUCUUUAUUAAAAGGACUGAGGAUCAUGUGUGUUGGUGGGCCUUGGACUCUGCUCUAAGCUCAAAUUUUGCAGUUUCUGCUGUCAUCACAGCUGGGAAUGAGAAAGGGAAGGGGCUCCAGUUGGUCUCCCUCUGCCUCUGGAGCACACGUGGAGGACAUGAGGCUUCCGCAGGAACAGCUCUGAAAGCUGAGUUCUCGGGUCCCUGUGAAGGAGGGAAGCUUGCCUGCCUUGGAGCGUGAAAAAGUCUUGCUGGACAGAAGUCUCACGGUUUAAAACUGGGAAGGGAGAGGAUUGAGAUCACACUAGAAUGCACAGAAAAUUCUUAAAACAAAAAAAUGAGAGAAACUUCAUCAGAAUGUGAAAAGAACUAUAAAGCUACAGUGCUGAAGAGAGGGCAAUACUGGCACUAGAAUGAGAAGAUUCAUGGAACACAGUGGAAAAUGCAGUAAGAGAGCUGCAUACACAUGGAGGCAACCACUCAAGGCCACUCUGAGAAGGGUUGAACGUGCUUUAAAUUAAAAGGACUGAGGAUCAUGUGUGUUGGUGUGUCUUGGACUCUGCUCUAAGACUCAUGGAGGCAACCACUCAAGGUCACUCUGAGAAGGGUUGAACGUGCUUUAUUAAAAGGACUGAGGAUCAUGUGUGUUGGUGUGUCCCGGAGUCUGCUCUAAGGCCCUGUGGCUGCCUGGUGCCCUGGGAAUGGUCCGGUCAUGGGCCUCAGCCCAGGAUGAGCAGCCAACAAUGCAAUCCCACGAAGAGUGUGCGGAAGGGAGAGGUUACUUCUCAAGAUGGAGCUGCCAAAUAGGGACACUUUGGAGAGUCUGGCCUGAGAACUUUUAGUUUCAAGAAUGUAUUGCUUUGGAAAAGACAGAAUAAAAGUCCAAGCACUGCCACUUAGAGGUUGUAUGUCCUUGGGAAAGUCACUGUACUUGGCAAUUAUAACCUUUACCCUGGAUACACCAUUCAUCUCCUGGGGCCAGGGGUUGUGCCACCUUGUUCAUUUCUAAACUAAAUGAUAUCUAAGCUAGUCUUUACCACAGUUUAAUUCUUACAAUAAUACUCCAAAGGAGAUAUAAUCAACCACAUUUCACAGAUGAGAGAGUUGGAAUCUUAAAAAGGUUAAACUCUUCGAGGUCAUUUGACGAAUAAAUAAUGGAGCCUGGAUUUCAACUGAAGUCUAACAAAUUCCAAAAUCCUGGCUACCGGCCAUUUAUAUUCGUGUG